rnacentral:rRNA from 1 species
AUUGAACGCUGGCGGCAGGCCUAACACAUGCAAGUCGAGCGGACGAAGGGAGCUUGCUCCUGGAUUCAGCGGCGGACGGGCGAGUAAUGCCUAGGAAGCUGCCUGGUAGAGGGGGAUAACGUCCGGAAACGGGCGCUAAUACCGCAUACGUCCAGAGGGAGAAAGUGGGGGAUCUUCGGACCUCACGCGAUCAGAUGAGCCUAGGUCGGAUUAGCUAGUUGGUGGGGUAAAGGCCUACCAAGGCGACGAUCCGUAACUGGUCUGAGAGGAUGAUCAGUCACACUGGAACUGAGACACGGUCCAGACUCCUACGGGAGGCAGCAGUGGGGAAUCUUGGACAAUGGGCGAAAGCCUGAUCCAGCCAUGCCGCGUGUGUGAAGAAGGUCUUCGGAUUGUAAAGCACUUUAAGUUGGGAGGAAGGGCAGUAAGUUAAUACCUUGCUGUUUUGACGUUACCAACAGAAUAAGCACCGGCUAACUUCGUG